UGGCAGUACAGUGCUCAAAAAUAAAAUCUUCAGAGUCAAGUAAGUUUAUCCUUGUUGUGCAGUUUCUCUAACUUCAUAGCAGGCCAAAGUAUUUCUGUUACUGCAUUUUUAACAAACUUUCAGGAAGGUACAGUCCAUAUCAAAUUGCCUCUGAGAUUUCCCUAGAGUAGUUCACAAUCCUGGAGUAUCCAGGAAUCUACAUAUACCCGCAUCUGACUGGGAAGCAAGAUGAGCUCACAAUGAAUGCUAAGUUGUAAUUCUUACAUCUCUUGAGAUUUUUCAGAUGGUGUGGAAUGUGAAGGGUCCUGGAGGUCUGCCAGAGUGGAUCUCCAUCCUGCAGGGGCUGAGGCACCCAGCUGCUACCAGUACUACCACCAUGCAGACAACCUGGAAGGCAUUCAGAGGAGUGAGCAAAAUGGUGAAGAGGCUUGAGGAACAGCAGAGUAAUGCAGUGAUGUUUCAGUUGAAGAACAGAUGUCUCAGAAGAAAUUCAAUUUCGUUCAUGUAUAAGAAAUAUUUUUCUAAAAAAUAAUUAUGCUUACUUCUUUGUACCCUAAAUAGAAAAGCUAAGCCAAUAAAUGAAAGAUAAAGA
rnacentral:lncRNA from 1 species